rnacentral:rRNA from 1 species
GCAUAUCAAUAAGCGGAGGAAAAGAAACCAACCGGGAUUGCCUCAGUAACGGCGAGUGAAGCGGCAAGAGCUCAAAUUUGAAAUCUGGCCCCUCCGGGGUCCGAGUUGUAAUUUGCAGAGGAUGCUUCGGGUGCGGUCCCCGUCUAAGUGCCCUGGAACGGGCCGUCAUAGAGGGUGAGAAUCCCGUCUGGGAUGGGCGGCCGCGCCCGUGUGAAGCUCCUUCGACGAGUCGAGUUGUUUGGGAAUGCAGCUCUAAGCGGGUGGUAAAUUUCAUCUAAAGCUAAAUACUGGCCGGAGACCGAUAGCGCACAAGUAGAGUGAUCGAAAGAUGAAAAGCACUUUGAAAAGAGAGUUAAACAGCACGUGAAAUUGUUGAAAGGGAAGCGUUGUCCACCAGACUCGCCCGGGGGGGUUCAGCCGGCACCUGUGCCGGUGUACUCCUCUCCGGGCGGGCCAGCAUCGGUUUGGGCGGCUGGUGAAAGGCCCCGGGAAUGUAACACCCUUCGGGGUGCCUUAUAGCCCGGGGUGCCAUGCGGCCAGCCUGGACCGAGGCCCGCGCUUCGGCGAGGAUGCUGGCGUAAUGGUGGUCAACGGCCCGUCUUGAAACACGGACCAAGGAGUCUAACAUCUAUGCGAGUGUUCGGGUGUCAAACCCGUCCGCGCAGUGAAAGCGAACGGAGGUGGGAGCCCCCCCCGGGGCGCACCAUCGACCGAUCCUGAUGUCUUCGGAUGGAUUUGAGUAAGAGCAUAGCUGUUGGGACCCGAAAGAUGGUGAACUAUGCCUGAAUAGGGCGAAGCCAGAGGAAACUCUGGUGGAGGCUCGCAGCGGUUCUGACGUGCAAAUCGAUCGUCAAAUUUGGGUAUAGGGGCGAAAGACUAAUCGAACCAUCUGGUAGCUGGUUCCUGCG